rnacentral:rRNA from 1 species
GUGGCGGACGGGUGAGUAACGCGUGGGUAACCUGCCUUGUACUGGGGGACAACAGUUGGAAACGACUGCUAAUACCGCAUAAGCGCACAGCUUCGCAUGAAGCAGUGUGAAAAACUCCGGUGGUACAAGAUGGACCCGCGUCUGAUUAGCUGGUUGGUGAGGUAACGGCCCACCAAGGCGACGAUCAGUAGCCGGCCUGAGAGGGUGAACGGCCACAUUGGGACUGAGACACGGCCCAAACUCCUACGGGAGGCAGCAGUGGGGAAUAUUGCACAAUGGGGGAAACCCUGAUGCAGCAACGCCGCGUGAGUGAAGAAGUAUUUCGGUAUGUAAAGCUCUAUCAGCAGGAAAGAAAAUGACGGUACCUGACUAAGAAGCCCCGGCUAACUACGUGCCAGCAGCCGCGGUAAUACGUAGGGGGCAAGCGUUAUCCGGAUUUACUGGGUGUAA